rnacentral:rRNA from 1 species
UACGUAGGGGCCUAGCGUUGUCCGGAUUUAUUGGGCGUAAAGAGCGUGUAGGCGGCCCGGUAAGUCCGCUGUGAAAGUCGGGGGCUCAACCCUCGAAUGCCGGUGGAUACUGUCGGGCUAGAGUGCGGAAGAGGCGAGUGGAAUUCCUGGUGUAGCGGUGAAAUGCGCAGAUAUCAGGAGGAACACCGAUUGCGAAGGCAGCUCGCUGGGACGUUACUGACGCUGAGACGCGAAAGCGUGGGGAGCAAACAGG